UAGCGAAGGGGGCUAGCGUUGCUCGGAAUUACUGGGCGUAAAGCGCACGUAGGCGGCUUUCUAAGUCGGGGGUGAAAUCCUGGAGCUCAACUCCAGAACUGCCUUCGAUACUGGAAAGCUCGAGUCCGGGAGAGGUGAGUGGAACUGCGAGUGUAGAGGUGAAAUUCGUAGAUAUUCGCAAGAACACCAGUGGCGAAGGCGGCUCACUGGCCCGGUACUGACGCUGAGGUGCGAAAGGCGUGGGGAGCAAACAGG
rnacentral:rRNA from 1 species